rnacentral:tRNA from 1 species
UUCGCGGCGGACCGGCCUGAGUCUCGUAAGCUGUCGCCUCGCGGGCGCGCGCCCGAAUCGCGUCCGCGGAG